rnacentral:antisense_RNA from 1 species
CUCUAUGGCGGCUGUGUGCGGGCAGACUUUGGUCUGGCCGGGUGCUCCUGACCGGUUAUCUCACCCCGCACAUAGCUGCCACCUUU